AAAUUGAAGAGUUUGAUCAUGGCUCAGAUUGAACGCUGGCGGCAGGCCUAACACAUGCAAGUCGAACGGUAACAGGAAGCAGCUUGCUGCUUCGCUGACGAGUGGCGGACGGGUGAGUAAUGUCUGGGAAACUGCCUGAUGGAGGGGGAUAACUACUGGAAACGGUGGCUAAUACCGCAUAACGUCGCAAGACCAAAGAGGGGGACCUUCGGGCCUCUUGCCAUCAGAUGUGCCCAGAUGGGAUUAGCUUGUUGGUGAGGUAACGGCUCACCAAGGCGACGAUCCCUAGCUGGUCUGAGAGGAUGACCAGCCACACUGGAACUGAGACACGGUCCAGACUCCUACGGGAGGCAGCAGUGGGGAAUAUUGCACAAUGGGCGCAAGCCUGAUGCAGCCAUGCCGCGUGUAUGAAGAAGGCCUUCGGGUUGUAAAGUACUUUCAGCGGGGAGGAAGGUGUUGCGGUUAAUAACCGCAGCAAUUGACGUUACCCGCAGAAGAAGCACCGGCUAACUCCGUGCCAGCAGCCGCGGUAAUACGGAGGGUGCAAGCGUUAAUCGGAAUUACUGGGCGUAAAGCGCACGCAGGCGGUCUGUCAAGUCGGAUGUGAAAUCCCCGGGCUCAACCUGGGAACUGCAUUCGAAACUGGCAGGCUUGAGUCUUGUAGAGGGGGGUAGAAUUCCAGGUGUAGCGGUGAAAUGCGUAGAGAUCUGGAGGAAUACCGGUGGCGAAGGCGGCCCCCUGGACAAAGACUGACGCUCAGGUGCGAAAGCGUGGGGAGCAAACAGGAUUAGAUACCCUGGUAGUCCACGCCGUAAACGAUGUCUACUUGGAGGUUGUGCCCUUGAGGUGUGGCUUCCGGAGCUAACGCGUUAAGUAGACCGCCUGGGGAGUACGGCCGCAAGGUUAAAACUCAAAUGAAUUGACGGGGGCCCGCACAAGCGGUGGAGCAUGUGGUUUAAUUCGAUGCAACGCGAAGAACCUUACCUGGUCUUGACAUCCACAGAAGAAUCCAGAGAUGGAUUUGUGCCUUCGGGAACUGUGAGACAGGUGCUGCAUGGCUGUCGUCAGCUCGUGUUGUGAAAUGUUGGGUUAAGUCCCGCAACGAGCGCAACCCUUAU
rnacentral:rRNA from 1 species